UAAAGAUUCAUCGCUGAUAGAUAGGCAUGCGUUCCAUUAGGCAGUUGGCGGGGUAACGGCCCACCAAACCGACGAUGGAUAGGGGUUCUGAGAGGAAGGUCCCCCACAUUGGUACUGAGACACGGACCAAACUCCUACAGGAGGCAGCAGUGAGGAAUAUUGGUCAAUGGGCGUAAGCCUGAACCAGCCAAGUCGCGUGAGGGAUGAAGGUUCUAUGGAUCGUAAACCUCUUUUAUAAGGGAAUAAAGUGCGGGACGUGUCCCGUUUUGUAUGUACCUUAUGAAUAAGGAUCGGCUAACUCCGUGCCAGCAGCCGCGGUAAUACGGAGGAUCCGAGCGUUAUCCGGAUUUAUUGGGUUUAAAGGGUGCGUAGGCGGCCUUUUAAGUCAGCGGUGAAAGUCUGUGGCUCAACCAUAGGAUUGCCGUUGAAACUGGGAGGCUUGAGUAUGUUUGAGGCAGGCGGAAUGCGUGGUGUAGCGGUGAAAUGCUUAGAUAUCACGCAGAACCCCGAUUGCGAAGGCAGCCUGCCAAGCCAUGACUGACGCUGAUGCACGAAAGCGUGGGGAUCAAACAGGAUUAGAUACCCUGGUAGUCCACGCAGUAAACGAUGAUCACUAGCUGUUUGCGAUACACAGUAA
rnacentral:rRNA from 1 species